rnacentral:rRNA from 1 species
UGAGGAAUAUUGGUCAAUGGGGGCAACCCUGAACCAGCCAAGUCGCGUGAAGGAUGAAGGUCUUAUGGAUUGUAAACUUCUUUUACACGGGAAUAAAGCGGGGGACGUGUCCCUCUUUGCAUGUACCGUGUGAAUAAGGAUCGGCUAACUCCGUGCCAGCAGCCGCGGUAAUACGGAGGAUCCGAGCGUUAUCCGGAUUUAUUGGGUUUAAAGGGUGCGCAGGCGGGAUGUUAAGUCGGCGGUGAAAUUUUGCAGCUCAACUGUAAAAGUGCCUUCGAUACUGGCCUUCUUGAGUGUGGAUGAAGUAGGCGGAAUUUGUGGUGUAGCGGUGAAAUGCUUAGAUAUCACGAGGAACUCCGAUUGCGCAGGCAGCUUACUAAGCCACAACUGACGCUCAUGCACGAAGGCGUGGGGAUCAAGCA